rnacentral:rRNA from 1 species
UGGGGAAUUUUGGACAAUGGGCGAAAGCCUGAUCCAGCAAUGCCGCGUGUGUGAAGAAGGCCUUCGGGUUGUAAAGCACUUUUGUCCGGAAAGAAAUCCUUGGCUCUAAUACAGUCGGGGGAUGACGGUACCGGAAGAAUAAGCACCGGCUAACUACGUGCCAGCAGCCGCGGUAAUACGUAGGGUGCAAGCGUUAAUCGGAAUUACUGGGCGUAAAGCGUGCGCAGGCGGUUUGCUAAGACCGAUGUGAAAUCCCCGGGCUCAACCUGGGAACUGCAUUGGUGACUGGCAGGCUAGAGUAUGGCAGAGGGGGGUAGAAUUCCACGUGUAGCAGUGAAAUGCGUAGAGAUGUGGAGGAAUACCGAUGGCGAAGGCAGCCCCCUGGGGCCAAAUACUGACGCUCAUGCACGAAAGCGUGGGGAGCAAACAGGAUUAGAUACCCUGGUAGUCCACGCCCUAAACGAUGUCAACUAGUUGUUGGGGAUUCAUUUCCUUAGUAACGUAGCUAGCGCGUGAAGUUGACCGCCUGGGGAGUACGGUCGCAAGAUUAAAACUCAAAUGAAUUGACGGGGUCAUAGCUGUUUCCU